rnacentral:rRNA from 1 species
AUGGCGGCGCAGGAGCAGUGGUACAUCUUGUACGCUGUUCCGGAUGUGUCGGAAGAUUUGAUGAAGACCCAGAAAUUCCCCAACGCGACGUUCUCCUUCAACAAGGUUCCGCUCCCUUCCCGCCUAUUCGUGGAGAGUAGCGUCGCCAGCCCCACCGGAGAGUACCCCUACAUCGCGGCCGCCGACCGCAGCGGCCACCUUCUGCUAUGCGGUUACACCUCGUUCGGGCUCACCUUGUACAUCUGCGACCCGUUUUUCCCAGGGACGACGGGCAUCUUCCCCCACGACGGCGGCUUCAACUGCCGCCACUGCGUCGGCCUCAUCCGCAAUCACGACCGCAGGCUUCUCAUGGUGGCCGAUCUCAACCCGUGCUUUUUCGAACAAGUCGUCUUCUUCACGCUCUUCUGCACGGUCGACUUGUACUCGUGGGUCGAGAAGGAGCCCGACUGCUCCAAAAUCUUGGACAAACGACCGUGGCGCGGUGAUGGCGUUCUCACUCAUCAAGAGGCGCAAUGGAAUCCGACGCACCGAGUGCGGCUGGCUGAGAUCUGGAACCAUGAGACCUACAAAAGGACGCCGCUGCGCCGGGACGUGAUCCCCAUUGUGGCGCUCGUCAACCCGAUCAAGGCACACGAGGUCUACUUCUUCCUCGACAAGCACAUCUUCUCUGUCAACCUGCACAACACUAGUGUGGUGCAGUAUGACAAGUUUGAAGAUUUGGGGAUGCCGGACCUCUCCUCCCGCCUGCUCCAUGCUUGGCAGCUUCCACCGGAGCUCACCGAAUAUCAUCCCUUGCCUGGAACCGAUGUGUUGGGUGCCACGGGGGUUUAUUUCCUGAAUCAAUAUGACUCAGUGGAGGAUUUCCAUGAGGAAAUGAUUGCUGCCACAGACAGGUGGUGUCCCGAAUUGCAUGAGAUGGGUCUGGAGGAACUUGAAGAUGGAGAUGAUGAUGCCUCUAAGAUGAGUGAGGAUCUUGAAGGGGAUGGUGAUGACUCUGAGACGAGCGGGGAUCUUGAAGAUGACUCCGAGAUCAAUGAGGAAGAUGUCGAAGAGGACGGAGAUGAAGACUGA